rnacentral:rRNA from 1 species
AUCGAUAGACCAGACCUAGAAACCCAGCAAUGGGCGCAGGGAACUGGCACUAACCGGCCGAAAACUUACAACAA